UUUAAAUGUAAAUUAAGAUAAGAUUAGUAAUAGUUAUAUUCUUUAAAUUUAAAGAUUUUGGCGGUAUUUUAGUCUUUUCAGAGGAACUUGUUCUAUAAUCGAUAUUCCACGAUUAAUUUGACUUAUUUUAUAUAAGUUUGUAUACCGUUGUAGAUUGAAUAUUUCAUUAGAAUUAUAAUAUUCAAGAUUUAGUUUAAUAAAAUAAAUCAGAUCAAGGUGCAAUUUAUAAAUAAGAAGAAAUGAGUUACAAUAAAAUUAUUUAUAUGAAUAAAUUAAUAAAUAUUAAUUUUGAAGGUGGAUUUGAAAGUAUUAUUAUUAAUUUAAAUAUUAAGAUUUUAGCUCUAAAAUAUGU
rnacentral:rRNA from 1 species